GACGAACGCUGGCGGCGUGCUUAACACAUGCAAGUCGAACGGAAAGGCCCUGCUUUUGUGGGGUGCUCGAGUGGCGAACGGGUGAGUAACACGUGAGUAACCUGCCCUUGACUUUGGGAUAACUUCAGGAAACUGGGGCUAAUACCGGAUAGGAGCUCCUGCUGCAUGGUGGGGGUUGGAAAGUGUCGGCGGUGGGGGAUGGACUCGCGGCUUAUCAGCUUGUUGGUGGGGUAGUUGCUUACCAAGGCUUUGACGGGUAGCCGGCCUGGGAGGGUGACCGGCCACCUUGGGCCUGAGAUACGGCCCAGUCUCCUACGGGACGCAGCAGUGGGGAAUAUUGCACAAUGGGCGGAAGCCUGAUGCGGCAACGCCGCGUGCGGGAUGACGGCCUUCGGGUUGUAAACCGCUUUCGCCUGUGACGAAGCGUGAGUGACGGUAAUGGGUAAAGAAGCACCGGCUAACUACGUG
rnacentral:rRNA from 1 species